UGGAAGUUCCCAAGUAACCAACCAGCACUAAAACAAAAACUUAAUCAGCAAUACUUCAGCACUCUAGUGCAUGUUAGUCAUGCACCGGCACGUGUUAAUGCAGAUCAGCACUAAGAUUGUAGCACUCAGUAUUGCUGACUAAGUGCUGCUUAAGUGCUGGUGCUGGCAAAUGUGUUCAUCAUUUUUCUCAAAACUGGCAACUAGGCCUUGCCCACGUAGGAAGAGGGAGUGAGAUAGCAUGUCUUCAUGCAGAACUGUCAUCAUUUGCUCACUUCAUUUAUUUGGGUUUGCUGACUUUAAAAAAUAAUAAAACUUCUUCCUGGUUACUUAUCUUACUCCCUGACUUGGAUCUGGAUAUGAAGAAAGUACACUCACAGCAGAUUCAGCGAUGGAAAUUAGCAUAUUUUUCCGGGAGACACGACGACGUCAAUGUCGAAAUCCGCUUUCUAAAGCAAAAAAGGCAUCAUUGGAAAACAAAUUAAACUCCAAGUAACCUCCGGAAACUUCCCGUCAUUUUCCCCAUGGGUUUGUUUCAAGUGCUUGUUAUUUCUCGCGUGUUUUUUUUUGUGUGAAAUAAAAAUAUGAAUAGU